GACUAUCAAUAAAAAGAUCAGAACUAUAUCUAUAGAGCAACUGAAUUUGCUAAAGGAUGCUGCAAUAGCUGGUUAUGAAAAGAAUGCAAGGCCUACA